UUCAAUGUCUUCUUCAAACUCUGCUGGUAUAUAACAUUUCCAAGUGGGAGGAACGUGUAUGCAUAAACAGUGGAAGAAAGUUUUUCAAACCUAAAGUCAGUGGAUCCAUUACACCUGCUGUUGGAAUGUUUUUUAAGUCAUUUGAUGAGGCUUUUGCGUUUUAUCAGAGAUAUGCACUUGCUGCAGGUUUUUCUGCAAGAAA
rnacentral:lncRNA from 1 species